rnacentral:lncRNA from 1 species
GGUGUGGCUGUCAGCUGGGGAGGGAUCCCUCCGCCCAUGUAAACACACAUCAUAAAGGGCAAGGGAAGCGUCUUCUGCGGGGCGGGGGGAGUUGUCGCCUUCCCGGAGAGCCCUCUGGGUCCCUAGGUUCCCCUGACUACCCUGGCAACCGCCCCCUCCCUCAACGUCACAUCGGGUCCUCGGGGAGCCAAACAGCUGCUGCCAGAUCUGGGAGCAACAAAAUCUCAUCACUUAGGGUCAAUACCGGAAAUGGAGAGAGCUUGGGAGUUGGGAGCGUGAGGGAGUUCUAGUACACGGCUGAGGAUUGGGAAAGAUUAUCCCAGGCUCAUUCUUCCUGUGCACCUCAGUUAAUAGUCAUUACUGAUACAAGUCUAGAAUUUUUCUCAAAGUUAUACUUAUCUGGCUUGAAGGAUGCCAAUGUUAAGUGUGAAAAUAGUCUUAACGUUCUCCCAGGAAAGAGCACAUGACAGGAAAUCAACUGCAGCAAAACCCUCAAGAGCAAAUACACCCAUGGCAAAGAGCAGCAAUGAUUCUUCUCCCCAACAUUUUAUUAUGGAAGAAUUUAAAAUAUUCAGCAAAGUUAAAA